rnacentral:other from 1 species
AAUUCCCUGCUGUGCGCGUUUUAGUUUGAUGUAUUUUGAGCCAACACCAAAAUACAGGGAGCCUAACUUUAAGAGCGGAUUGCAGGCCCCGAUCCGUCGGGGAACAUGAAGCUUUUAAGAAGGCACCCACCUAUACAAACAUAGGUUCAAAAAUUAUCAGCUAGAACGGCAUGGUGGGGGUUUU